CGGAGCUUGCUCCACCGGAAAAAGAAGAGUGGCGAACGGGUGAGUAACACGUGGGUAACCUGCCCAUCAGAAGGGGAUAACACUUGGAAACAGGUGCUAAUACCGUAUAACAAUCAAAACCGCAUGGUUUUGAUUUGAAAGGCGCUUUCGGGUGUCGCUGAUGGAUGGACCCGCGGUGCAUUAGCUAGUUGGUGAGGUAACGGCUCACCAAGGCCACGAUGCAUAGCCGACCUGAGAGGGUGAUCGGCCACAUUGGGACUGAGACACGGCCCAAACUCCUACGGGAGGCAGCAGUAGGGAAUCUUCGGCAAUGGACGAAAGUCUGACCGAGCAACGCCGCGUGAGUGAAGAAGGUUUUCGGAUCGUAAAACUCUGUUGUUAGAGAAGAACAAGGAUGAGAGUAACUGUUCAUCCCUUGACGGUAUCUAACCAGAAAGCCACGGCUAACUACGUGCCAGCAGCCGCGGUAAUACGUAGGUGGCAAGCGUUGUCCGGAUUUAUUGGGCGUAAAGCGAGCGCAGGCGGUUUCUUAAGUCUGAUGUGAAAGCCCCCGGCUCAACCGGGGAGGGUCAUUGGAAACUGGGAGACUUGAGUGCAGAAGAGGAGAGUGGAAUUCCAUGUGUAGCGGUGAAAUGCGUAGAUAUAUGGAGGAACACCAGUGGCGAAGGCGGCUCUCUGGUCUGUAACUGACGCUGAGGCUCGAAAGCGUGGGGAGCAAACAGGAUUAGAUACCCUGGUAGUCCACGCCGUAAACGAUGAGUGCUAAGUGUUGGAGGGUUUCCGCCCUUCAGUGCUGCAGCUAACGCAUUAAGCACUCCGCCUGGGGAGUACGACCGCAAGGUUGAAACUCAAAGGAAUUGACGGGGGCCCGCACAAGCGGUGGAGCAUGUGGUUUAAUUCGAAGCAACGCGAAGAACCUUACCAGGUCUUGACAUCCUUUGACCACUCUAGAGAUAGAGCUUCCCCUUCGGGGGCAAAGUGACAGGUGGUGCAUGGUUGUCGUCAGCUCGUGUCGUGAGAUGUUGGGUUAAGUCCCGCAACGAGCGCAACCCUUAUUGUUAGUUGCCAUCAUUCAGUUGGCCACUCUAGCAAGACUGCCGGUGACAAACCGGAGGAAGGUGGGGAUGACGUCAAAUCAUCAUGCCCCUUAU
rnacentral:rRNA from 1 species